GAUGAACGCUGGCGGUAUGCUUAAUACAUGCAAGUCGAACGAAGUCUUCGGACUUAGUGGCGGACGGGUGAGUAACGCGUGAGAAUCUGCCUACAGAUUGGGGAUAACGUCGGGAAACUGACGCUAAUACCGAAUAUGCCGAGAGGUAAAAGAUUUAUUGUCUGUAGAUGAGCUCGCGUCUGAUUAGCUAGUUGGUGGGGUAAGGGCCUACCAAGGCGACGAUCAGUAACUGGUCUGAGAGGAUGACCAGUCACACUGGGACUGAGACACGGCCCAGACUCCUACGGGAGGCAGCAGUGGGGAAUUUUCCGCAAUGGGCGAAAGCCUGACGGAGUAAUACCGCGUGCGGGAGGAAGCUUUUUGGAGUGUAAACCCGCUUUUCUCAGGGAAGGUGAUGACGGUACCUGAGGAAUCAGCAUCGGCUAACUUCGUGCCAGCAGCCGCGGUAAU
rnacentral:rRNA from 1 species